UAGUGUCAAGUUUUUAAGGGCACACGGUGGAUGCCUUGGCACCAGGAACCGAAGAAGGACGUAGGAAUCUGCGAUAAGCCUCGGGUAGUCGAUAACCAGACUGUGAUCCGAGGAUUUCCGAAUGGGGAAACCCGGCUGGAGGCAAGUCCAGUCACCCGCACCUGAAUAUAUAGGGUGUGUGGAGGGAACGUGGGGAAGUGAAACAUCUCAGUACCCACAGGAAGAGAAAACAACAUGUGAUUCCGUGAGUAGUGGCGAGCGAAAGCGGAUGAGGCUAAACCGGGCGUGUGUGAUAGCUGUCAGGCGUUGCACGUUCGGGGUCGUGGGACCCGCCAGUUGGCUCUGACAGGCUGACAGGGAGUAAAAAAUCUGCGUCAUAGUCGAAGAGCAUUGAAUGGCUCGGCAUAGAGGGUGCGACCCCCGUAGACGAAAUGGUGUGGACUCCCGGUGGUGUUUCCCAAGUAGCACGGGGCCCGAGAAAUCCCGUGUGAAUCUGGCAGGACCACCUGCUAAGCCUAAAUAUUCCCUGGUGACCGAUAGCGGACAAGUACCGUGAGGGAAAGGUGAAAAGUACCCCGGGAGGGGAGUGAAAUAGAUCCUGAAACCGUGUGCCUACAAUCCGUUGGAGCCUCCCGCCGUUGGGCGUGUGGGGUGACAGCGUGCCUUUUGAAGAAUGAGCCUGCGAGUUAGUGCUCAGUGGCGAGGUUAACCCGUGUGGGGAAGCCGUAGCGAAAGCGAGUCCGAAUAGGGCGUUUGAGUCGCUGGGUCUAGACCCGAAGCGGAGUGAUCUACCCAUGGCCAGGUUGAAGCGCAGGUAAGACUGCGUGGAGGACCGAACCCACUUAGGUUGAAAACUGAGGGGAUGAGCUGUGGGUAGGGGUGAAAGGCCAAUCAAACUCCGUGAUAGCUGGUUCUCCCCGAAAUGCAUUUAGGUGCAGCGUCACGUGUUUCUUGCCGGAGGUAGAGCUACUGGAUAGCUAAUGGGCCUCACCAGGUUACUGACGUUAGCCAAACUCCGAAUGCCGGUAAGUGAGAGCGUGGCAGUGAGACUGCGGGGGAUAAGCUCCGUAGUCGAGAGGGAAACAGCCCAGAUCACCAGCUAAGGUCCCUAAGCGUGUGCUAAGUGGGAAAGGAUGUGGAGUUGCUGUGACAACCAGGAGGUUGGCUUAGAAGCAGCCACCCUUUAAAGAGUGCGUAAUAGCUCACUGGUCAAGUGAUUCCGCGCCGACAAUGUAGCGGGGCUCAAGCACACCACCGAAGCUGUGGCAUUGACAUAUUGCUCGGCACCGACACCUGCGGGUUCGGUGUCCAGGCGUGUUGAUGGGUAGGGGAGCGUCGUGUGGCCAGGGAAGCGGCGGUGUGAACCAGCCGUGGAGGCCACACGAGUGAGAAUGCAGGCAUGAGUAGCGAAUGACGGGCGAGAAACCCGUCCGCCGAAUAACCAAGGGUUCCAGGGUCAAGCUAAUCUGCCCUGGGUAAGUCGGGACCUAAGGCGAGGCCGACAGGCGUAGUCGAUGGACAUCCGGUUGAUAUUCCGGAACCGGCGAAGGACCGCCCAUGAUGAACCCAGUGAUGCUAAGUGCCUGAAGCACGCCCACCGGACCUUCGGGUCCAACGGGCGUGUGGAGCGCACGACCCGAUCUGGUAGUAGUCAAGCGAUGGAGUGACGCAGGAAGGUAGCCUCCGCGUGGCGAUGGUUGUCCACGUCCAAGGGUGUAGGGCGCGAUCCAGGCAAAUCCGGGUCGCAUGAAGCCUGAGACCUGAUAGUGACCGCGAAUGCGGGAAGAGGGUGAUCCUAUGCUGCCGAGAAAAACUUCUAGCGAGGUUCGAGCCGCCCGUACCCCAAACCGACUCAGGUGGUUAGGUAGAGAAUACCAAGGCGAUCGAGUGAAUCGUGGUUAAGGAAUUCGGCAAAAUACCCCCGUAACUUCGGGAGAAGGGGGGCCCUGAUCGUGACGCCACUAGCUGGCUGAGCGUGAUCGGCCGCAGAGACCAGGGAGAAGCGACUGUUUACUAAAAACACAGGUCCGUGCCAAGUCGCAAGACGAUGUAUACGGACUGACGCCUGCCCGGUGCUGGAACGUUAAGGGGACCGGUUAGCCUCACGGCGAAGCUGAGAACUUAAGCGCCAGUAAACGGCGGUGGUAACUAUAACCAUCCUAAGGUAGCGAAAUUCCUUGUCGGGUAAGUUCCGACCUGCACGAAUGGCGUAACGACUUCUCCACUGUCUCAACCACGAACUCGGCGAAAUUGCACUACGAGUAAAGAUGCUCGUUACGCGCAGCAGGACGGAAAGACCCCGGGACCUUUACUACAGCUUGGUAUUGGUGUUCGGUACGGCUUGUGUAGGAUAGGUGGGAGACUGUGAAGCCGUCACGUCAGUGAUGGUGGAGUCAACGUUGAAAUACCACUCUGGUCGUUCUGGAUAUCUAACCUCGGUCCGUGAUCCGGAUCAGGGACAGUGCCUGGUGGGUAGUUUAACUGGGGCGGUUGCCUCCUAAAAGGUAACGGAGGCGCCCAAAGGUUCCCUCAGCCUGGUUGGUAAUCAGGUUUCGAGUGUAAGUGCACAAGGGAGCUUGACUGUGAGACAGACAUGUCGAGCAGGGACGAAAGUCGGGACUAGUGAUCCGGCGGUGGCUUGUGGAAGCGCCGUCGCUCAACGGAUAAAAGGUACCCCGGGGAUAACAGGCUGAUCUUGCCCAAGAGUCCAUAUCGACGGCAUGGUUUGGCACCUCGAUGUCGGCUCGUCGCAUCCUGGGGCUGGAGUAGGUCCCAAGGGUUGGGCUGUUCGCCCAUUAAAGCGGUACGCGAGCUGGGUUUAGAACGUCGUGAGACAGUUCGGUCCCUAUCCGCUGUGCGCGUAGGAAACUUGAGAAAGGCUGUCCCUAGUACGAGAGGACCGGGAUGGACGAACCUCUGGUGUGUCAGUUGUCCUGCCAAGGGCACCGCUGAUUAGCUACGUUCGGAAGUGAUAACCGCUGAAAGCAUCUAAGCGGGAAGCACGUUUCAAGAUGAGGUUUCCAGGCCCGCGAGGGCGAGAGGCUCCCAGCUAGACUACUGGGUUGAUAGGCCGGAUGUGGAAGCACAGCAAUGUGUGGAGCUGACCGGUACUAAUAAGCCGAUAACUUGACUUAC
rnacentral:rRNA from 1 species